ACGGGAGGCAGCAGUGGGGAAUAUUGCACAAUGGGCGCAAGCCUGAUGCAGCGAUGCCGCGUGAGGGAAGAAGGUUUUCGGAUUGUAAACCUCUGUCAACAGGGACGAAAAUGACGGUACCUGUGAAGGAAGCUCCGGCUAACUACGUGCCAGCAGCCGCGGUAAUACGUAGGGAGCAAGCGUUAUCCGGAAUUACUGGGUGUAAAGGGAGCGCAGGCGGGACAGCAAGUCAGCGGUGAAAUGUAUGGGCUCAACCCAUGAACUGCCGUUGAAACUGUUGUUCUUGAGUGGAGUAGAGGUAGGCGGAAUUCCGAGUGUAGCGGUGAAAUGCGUAGAUAUUCGGAGGAACACCAGUGGCGAAGGCGGCCUACUGGGCUCUAACUGACGCUGAGGCUCGAAAGUGUGGGGAGCAAACAGGAUUAGAUACCCUGGUA
rnacentral:rRNA from 1 species